GAUGAACGCUGGCGGCGUGCUUAACACAUGCAAGUCGAACGGGAAAUAUUUCAUUGAGACUUCGGUGGAUUUGAUCUAUUUCUAGUGGCGGACGGGUGAGUAACGCGUGGGUAACCUGCCUUAUACAGGGGGAUAACAGUCAGAAAUGGCUGCUAAUACCGCAUAAGCGCACAGAGCUGCAUGGCUCAGUGUGAAAAACUCCGGUGGUAUAAGAUGGACCCGCGUUGGAUUAGCUAGUUGGUGGGGUAACGGCCCACCAAGGCGACGAUCCAUAGCCGGCCUGAGAGGGUGAACGGCCACAUUGGGACUGAGACACGGCCCAGACUCCUACGGGAGGCAGCAGUGGGGAAUAUUGCACAAUGGGGGAAACCCUGAUGCAGCGACGCCGCGUGAAGGAAGAAGUAUCUCGGUAUGUAAACUUCUAUCAGCAGGGAAGAUAGUGACGGUACCUGACUAAGAAGC
rnacentral:rRNA from 1 species